UACGAAGGGGGCUAGCGUUGUUCGGAAUCACUGGGCGCAAAGCGCACGUAGGCGGAUGUGCCAGUCAGGGGUGAAAUCCCGGAGCUCAACUUCGGAACUGCCUCUGAUACAGCACGUCUUGAGUCCGGAAGAGGUGGGUGGAAUUCCUAGUGUAGAGGUGAAAUUCGUAGAUAUCGAGAGGAACACCGGUGGCGAAGGCGGCCUUCUGGACAAUGACUGACGCUGAGACGCGAAAGCGUGGGGAGCAAACAGG
rnacentral:rRNA from 1 species